UAACUUGUCCUAUCUUGUCCUCUAAAAUCCUAAUCCUUUCUUCAAUGAGCAGGUCGAGUGGUAUGGCUCCGGUCUAAACCCUAAUUGUAUCAUGGAAUCAUGCCAUAGGAUGGUUAAGAUGGAAAUCACCCCAGAAAAGUACCUGAUAUCAAUGGCAAAAAAGUAUUUGGAGAAUGAUAAACACAUGUCUAAAGCAUGGUUACUAACAGCUACAACAUUAUUUAAAAAUAACUUUGAUAUUCAGUUUGAAGCAUAUGAGAUCGAAAAAGGGGCAAAGAACUGCAGAGAAGCUGCCAAAUGUCUGAACAAUUUGUUUUGUCAGUUCCCUACCAAUGAAAGACUGUGGAGUGAGAUUCAACUGAUUGUUGCUGCGUUGCGAACUGAGCAUCCUGACGAGAAUCAGCAAUUCUUCGUCAACAUGUUCAACAAUUUACCUUCAGAAGUUCAACGCAACAUGUUGUUAGUCACAGCUGAUCAUAGUGAGGAUACCAUGGAGCACUGUCGUCUCAUGUUGUUGUUGUUGACCAAGUUUCCUGUCACCAUUUCUCAGCAUGGGGCACGCCUGGUAGAUCUUCUAGUCUCAGCCGAAAAACACGAACACGAACAAGCUAUUAACUGUUAUCGUAAGUUAUUAGUCUGUGAUCUCCUGCCUCUGCUCGGGUCUGCUUCUAUGGAACUUCCCACCAAACAGCUGUUUAAGCUGCUGCAUAAGUCCAUAGAGUUCUACCUCUGCUAUGUCAUGAACAAGAGUAAAGCAAUUCAGGAUUUGCCAGCCUCUGAAUGUAUUAUAGAAGAGCCGUGGGGUAACCUGUUCCUCGUCUUGGAAAUGGUCGGAAGAAAACUCAACUGGGAAUUGAGCGACGUAUUCAGUUUGCCCAUAAACAAAGAGUUGGUCUGGCAAAAGAUUGUCCUUUUCCGACGUCAAUAUGUGGACCAGCCUAAAAGUGGACAACAGCUGUUAUAUUGUACCAUUCUACUGUUUUUGUACUGCCUUCAUGAUUACUGCACAGCUUUGGAUCCUGUGUCAGGCAGUUCGAUGGUGUUAGUGGAGGGGGUUGUGGCAUCUGACCCAGCAGCUGUAGGAGCCGAUGGUCCGCCCGCUAAGAUGCGUAAACUCGACCCAGAAGAUCUCACCAACACACACUGGACGGUUGGCGACACUGCCCAGUCAUCUGUUAUUGCCAACUUCAUGUUCGCCUACCAGUGCUGGCAACUACUGUACAGCUGUGACUAUCUGGAGAGAGAGUUCGCCAAGUUGACUCAGACCCUCGGACUGGAGCCGUGGAUCUCAGGUUUCCUCCAAGACGUGACUCUGUACCAGGGUAGUCACGAGGAGUGUUUGCGGAUGUUAAACUCACACGAGACAUCACGCAAGACCAGCCUGCGACUAGCAUCCACCCACUUCUUCCUUGGGCAAUAUAGUAAGAUGCUGGACAACAUCCUCUCAGCCAACUCUCACUGGCCGCCCCACUCUCCCCCCGGCACACUGUCUACUGCGGGGCUGCGGGACGGCAAGAAGAGGCAUCUUCACUUCCUACCUUUGAGACGACUGCCUGUUCUGCAGUAUUGCUGCAAACUGCUCAUACAAGCAUUGCGGAGGAACCUGGUGACCAUCUCCAUGGAGUGUGACCUCGCCAUGGGUCACAUGUUGGUGCUGAUGCAACUGGACUGGCCUCAACACGAAGCUCUGCAGGCUGAGGUCAUCAAGAGGAUCAGGAUCAGGAGUAGCUUCACGUAUGCUUUGUUCACCAAGUACAUUGUACUACCAGACAUCGUGGAUGACUUUAUGUUGCUCUCCACAGAGAAUGUAUCUCUUGACAUUCUGCCUCCCUCCUCCAACCAGAUGCUCAACCACAGGCGCAUUUCAACGAGAGGAGUUGAUAAGGGCGCUAAGGAAGAUUUCAAACUAGCAAUGAAGAGACAAGUGGCGAGAAGUGUCGAGCCUAUCGACGGCAUCAUCACCUCGUUUCUGACUGAACAACGAGAUCUCAUCAACCACAGCUUAUCUACAAGUCAGCCAUGAGGUGAAGAAGAAUUUGCGUAUCAUGUACAUAGAGAACCUUCAGAUUAUGAGCAAAUUGACUUUUCUAUCAUUAAUACUUGACCAAUCGAGAGCUCCUACAGAAGUUAACUACGCACAGAGAUAUGUGACGUAAGGGCUUUGCCAAAAAUGCCCCGUGGGCCAAACUUCAAGCUAAGUACUGUACAACAUGGAUAGUUUGAUUAAUUUUAAAACUCACUGUAAGU